CAGUCGCCGCGUUAAUACGAAGGGGGCUAGCGUUGCUCGGAAUGACUGGGCGUAAAGGGCGCGUAGGCGGCAUAUACAGUCAGGCGUGAAAUUCCCGGGCUUAACCUGGGGGCUGCGUUUGAUACGUAUGGGCUAGAGUGGGGAAGAGGGUUGUGGAAUUCCCAGUGUAGAGGUGAAAUUCGUAGAUAUUGGGAAGAACACCGGUGGCGAAGGCGGCAACCUGGUCCUUGACUGACGCUGAGGCGCGAAAGCGUGGGGAGCAAACAGGAUUAGAUACCCGGGUAGUCCCUGUCUCUUAUAC
rnacentral:rRNA from 1 species